GUUUUUAUCGGGCAUUGAGGCACAGGAGAUUAAAAGUAAAUACUGCAAUCAGGAGGCAGCUGGGGAGAAAAUGCAACGCAUUUCACAUUUCCAGCUUUGUGGUCCUGGUCAGUAGUGGAUCCUUGAAACCUUCAGAUUGGGCACUGCCCUUGGCCACAGUACUCUCUGUGAAGACCUGAUCUCCUUUCAUGGGGAAGAACAAAGAGGGGUGAGGAAGAAAGAGAACUCAAUCCUGCUCAGCCCUGAGCCACAUAAGCCUCUGCUUGUGGUCCGUUGGAAAAUAGAGUCGUGUUCCUUAAUAGAGUCAUAUAGCUUGGGAAACUGAGGCCCAGGAGGGAUGUAGGUGGAUGACACCAAACACUGAGUGCUAUCGGGUCCUUGAUAGGAAGAUGAAGCACUGAGCCAGAGGAAGCCUACGAGCUACAAAAACUAUUUCCCUUGUUGA